rnacentral:lncRNA from 1 species
CGACGCCUAUUAAUUAAACAGCCAUUAGUGAAUCAAAACAAACUAAUAUUCACUUUUAUCAAUUUUUAAUUUCCAUCCUAAUUUUAUUUUCCAAUCACACGAUUAAUUAAUUUUAAGAUAAAUCAAAUAUUUAAGGCCACAACAACCCAAAUUGCUCAAGUGCAUUUAAUAUAUACCAACAAAUCUCAUCAUACACUUUAAGAUAGCAUAAAAAGAAUAGAGUUAUGAAUUGGACCUCAGAAGAACUGAUUUUUGAUAACAGUGAGUUAGCAAAGCCUAAAAUCGAAAUCCUCGGACCAAAAAACUCAACAACGAACAAACCAACUUGGAAUCAAGAACUGUAACCCAGAUCAAGCUUAAACCAGAAGGUUCGUUGGAUUUUUGGAAUUUUACGGUGGGUUUUUGGAUCGAUUUAGAGUAGGAACUGUUGUUUUCAUUUUGCCCAAGCUCACGUGGUGGUGAGAAUCGGAGAACGGGUUAAAUUUUUUGUGGCAGUGGAUUCUUGCCUGAAAAAAACUAUUUCUCUGCUGCUAGGGUACGUAGUAAGGUGAGGAUGUAUAGGAUAAAUUUGAAAAAAUGGGAGGGUCAAAUUUAUGUGUCUACAUUGUCGACGACCAGGAUAGUGAAUUCAAGUAUUUGCUCUUCGGUACCUUGAAUUUUAUUUUUAUAAGCUAUUGGAGAAGUUAUUUAGGAUUAUCU